AAGAUAAAGGAAGAAAAAUUAAGGGGGAGGGGAAGAAAAAAAACUAAAACACCACCACGACUCGAUUUCCAAAGUUCCCCAAGGAGCCAGCCCGGAGCGCAGAGCCCCGCGUCCGCCUGCGUUUUUAUGAAUGAAAGCGGCCGGCUGAGCUGGGAGUAACAUCCCUGCCCUGAAACUCCUCAAAAUCCGUGAAAUCCAGGCGGGUAGCAGCGGAGGAAGGGGAGGCAGCGGAGCGGUGGCUCCCCCGGGUACUGGGGGGGGGGCUCGGCAGCGACAUGAUCCCCGUCCCGGGCAGCCCCGGGAGAACCCCGAGAGGCUGCGGGCUCCUCUGCCGGAUCCUUUGAGACAGAGAAGGGAGAGUGAAGCAAAAAAAUAAACCACCCCUAUUCGUAACUAAAACGCACUGCAACCUUGAAGGCUGGCAGAAUAAACCUAUUGUGGAGCUGAAACGCGCCGGGAUAUGCAAGGGAAAAGCCCCCAGAGUACCACUGUUUGCGAAAAGAUGCACACGGAAAACAAACAGCACCAGGGGCUGCAGCUCUGAAGGGAGCGAAGUUGCUCUGCUUCACAUGGGCUCCUCGGCUGCGUUUCGGGAGCUGCCCAGAUCUCCAGCCAUGAGAAAACGGAGCAAAAGACCGGGGUUUCUUGUCAUGUGCCUUUCUGGCUAAAACUGUGGAAACAAACAAACAAUCAAACAACACACAAAU